rnacentral:rRNA from 1 species
UACGGAGGGUGCGAGCGUUGUCCGGAAUCAUUGGGCGUAAAGGGCGCGUAGGUGGCGGGACAAGCGUGCGGUGAAAGCCUGGGGCUCAACCCCGGGUCGGCCGUGCGAACUGUUUUGCUUGAGCACUGUAGAGGCAGGCGGAAUUCCGGGUGUAGCGGUGGAAUGCGUAGAGAUCCGGAAGAACACCUGUGGCGAAGGCGGCCUGCUGGGCAGUAGCUGACACUGAGGCGCGACAGCGUGGGGAGCAAACAGG